rnacentral:rRNA from 1 species
CCACCUUUGACAUGUACGGAAUUCGCCAGAGAUGGCUUAGUGCUCGAAAGAGAACCGUAACACAGGUGCUGCAUGGCUGUCGUCAGCUCGUGUCGUGAGAUGUUGGGUUAAGUCCCGCAACGAGCGCAACCCUUGUCAUUAGUUGCUACAUUUAGUUGGGCACUCUAAUGAGACUGCCGGUGACAAGCCGGAGGAAGGUGGGGAUGACGUCAAGUCCUCAUGGCCCUUAUAGGUGGGGCUACACACGUCAUACAAUGGCUGGUACAAAGGGUUGCCAACCCGCGAGGGGGAGCUAAUCCCAUAAAGCCAGUCGUAGUCCGGAUCGCAGUCUGCAACUCGACUGCGUGAAGUCGGAAUCGCUAGUAAUCGUGGAUCAGAAUGUCACGGUGAAUACGUUCCC